CCACGCAGGCAGUCCGCACCUCUAACCUGUUACCAUGGGAGCCGAAAUAGAAACGGACACGCCACGCAGCUGACACGCUCGCGCCACACAGGCCGUGUGCAGGAGCCCUGAAGGAAAUACUGGG